CCUACGGGUGGCUGCAGUGAGGAAUAUUGGUCAAUGGGCUUACGCCUGAACCAGCCAAGUCGCGUGAGGGAAGACUGCCCUAUGGGUUGUAAACCUCUUUUGUCAGGUAGCCAUUGUCGCUACGUGUAGCGUUAUCGAGAGUACCUGAAUCAAAAGCAUCUGAUAACUCCGUGCCAGCAGCCGCGGUACUACGGAGGAUGCUAGCGUUAUCCUGAUUUAUUGGGUUUAAAGGGUGCGUAGGCGGAAUGCCAAGUCAGCGGUAAAAUCGCGGGGCGAAACCUCGCUCCGCCGUUGAAACUGGCGUUCUUGAGUGGGCGAGAAGUAUGCGGAAUGAGUGGUGUAGCGGUGAAAGGCAUAGAUAUCACGCAGAACCCCGAGUGAGAAGGCAGCCGGCCGCAGCGUGACUGACGCUGAAGCUCGAAAGCGCGGGUAUCGAACAGGAUUAGAUACCCGUGUAGUC
rnacentral:rRNA from 1 species